GACAUUUGCAGAUGUAAGACAUGAACCUAAUACUUUACUGCUAAUGGGUGAAUCCUUGUAUUAGAAUUAUUUUUCAACAGAGUAACAAUAAAUGAAGGGGAGGCAAUGGCAACAUUCCCUGCUGACUACCCCAAAAUUAUUACAGGAACCACUUCUUCCUUGUGACUUACAGAAUGUCUUUGCUCAACUUCAGCUAUCACCCUACUGCCUCUAAAAGGGGAAAUAACUGCAGAAAUCUCCUCUUAUGAUGAAACAAAACUCUACAAUUCUGCCCUGAUUAUACCAACUCAUCUUCAAAAAGCUUAUGCAAAGGAAGCCAGAUUUGAGUUAAUUAAAGUUUUUUUUUUGUUUGUUUGUUUGUUUUUGUUUUGGUUAGAAUGCCAAAUGGUACUGUCAUUUUGGAAAGCAUUUGGCAGUUUCUUUUUUUUUAAUUACUCAAUGAAUUUACUACAUUUAUAGUUGUACAAUGAUCUUCACAACCCAAUUUUAUAAAUUGAUUCUGAUCUCUUUAGAAGGCAACAAAUGUUGCAUUUGAUUAAAAGCAGUUCCUGUAUUUUUUCUUUAAAGCACAUGGGAAAAUGAGCAGUCUAGCCAUAUGGAGAUGGGAUGGCGCAAAGGCAGUGCCAUCUCCAAGGGCACAUUUACUCACCUGAAGAGGGACUAUUCCUGUGCGGAGCAGAGUGGCUGUGUCACAUCAUUGGAUCUGAAGAUAGAAAGAAGGUACAAGGGCGUGUACCAGAAUUUUUCAAGCAGAUCUCUAUUAAGCCUCUUGCUUAAAAGAGAUGGAAACUCAACUUAAACAAGGGUUUUGUGAAUAAUAUAUAGCAUUGUGAUCAGUGCUCAAGAUGCCAUGUCUUAGGAAUUCAAACUCAACUUCUUUGCACAAGCUCUGUUGGAACUUAAGAGAGAAGAAAUGAAGUUCUGUAAACAAAGUUCAGAAAGACGCCCUUUGGUUCCAGGAAAGGAUUCACUUUGGCUCUACUCUUGAUCUGGGUUGAAUUGGCAGCUGCAUCGUCUUCUCUGGGAACCCCCAAGUAGCUUGGAGAACUGAUGUUGCAUAAAAGAGUAAUAGCUGUCAUUUGAAAUAAUUAAUGUGUGGGUUCCUCCGGUGGUACAGUGAGAAGCAAAAUAUUUAUUAAAGACUGGCUUGUAUAUGUAAGGAAAAACUAGACCCUGGAGACAGUCACAAAAAAAAAAAAAAAAAAAAA
rnacentral:lncRNA from 1 species